GACGAACGCUGGCGGCGUGCUUAACACAUGCAAGUCGAACGGAAAGGCCCUUCGGGGUACUCGAGUGGCGAGCGGGUGAGUAACACGUGGGUGAUCUGCCCUGCACUUUGGGAUAAGCCUGGGAAACUGGGUCUAAUACCGAAUAGGACCACGCGCUUCAUGGUGUGUGGUGGAAAGCUUUUGCGGUGUGGGAUGGGCCCGCGGCCUAUCAGCUUGUUGGUGGGGUAAUGGCCUACCAAGGCGACGACGGGUAGCCGGCCUGAGAGGGUGACCGGCCACACUGGGACUGAGAUACGGCCCAGACUCCUACGGGAGGCAGCAGUGGGGAAUAUUGCACAAUGGGCGCAAGCCUGAUGCAGCGACGCCGCGUGAGGGAUGACGGCCUUCGGGUUGUAAACCUCUUUCACCAGGGACGAAGCGUAAGUGACGGUACCUGGAGAAGAAGCACCGGCCAACUACGUG
rnacentral:rRNA from 1 species